UAGGGAAUCUUCGGCAAUGGGGGGAACCCUGACCGAGCAACGCCGCGUGAGUGAAGAAGGUUUUCGGAUCGUAAAGCUCUGUUGUAAGAGAAGAACGAGUGUGAGAGUGGAAAGUUCACACUGUGACGGUAUCUUACCAGAAAGGGACGGCUAACUACGUGCCAGCAGCCGCGGUAAUACGUAGGUCCCGAGCGUUGUCCGGAUUUAUUGGGCGUAAAGCGAGCGCAGGCGGUUAGAUAAGUCUGAAGUUAAAGGCUGUGGCUUAACCAUAGUACGCUUUGGAAACUGUUUAACUUGAGUGCAAGAGGGGAGAGUGGAAUUCCAUGUGUAGCGGUGAAAUGCGUAGAUAUAUGGAGGAGCACCGGUGGCGAAAGCGGCUCUCUGGCUUGUAACUGACGCUGAGGCUCGAAAGCGUGGGGAGCAAACAGGAUUAGAUACCCUGGUAGUCCACGCCGUAAACGAUGAGUGCUAGGUGUUAGACCCUUUCCGGGGUUUAGUGCCGCAGCUAACGCAUUAAGCACUCCGCCUGGGGAGUACGACCGCAAGGUUG
rnacentral:rRNA from 1 species